AGGGAACCAGUAGGCGGGAGAAGAAAGGGUAGGGAACUUCCUUCCUGCCCCCUCCGAGUUUUGCCUCUCUCACUGGCAGCAACCCAGCGCUUCCAUUGCUGACCUCUACCGACCUCUACCUGUGGUCCUUCCUCUACUGCAGCAGAGACACUGUUUUCUUCCUUUGUUCUUCCAACCCCAUGGGGAAUAUCACAGAAGUGAAGUGCAAUUCUCAUCAUGUCAUAUCAAGAGCACACACUAACAAACAACAUGACUUAUUGCUGAAUAUUGAACUUGAUCACCUGGCUGAGGUAGUGUUUGCCAGAUUUCUCUGUAAAGGUGAAUAAACUGACACUGGAACAUUCAGGAACUUCUUCAUGGUCAUGGUCACCCAGCUAGAGUGUGGAAGCCAGGCUGUCUGAUUCCAGGAUCUGUGUUCUUAAUCCUAUACAUAAGGAAGCCAUAAUGAGUCAACCACUAUUUUUAAGAUUCACAGAUGUUCGGGUCCAAUUCACCAGAAUGCCAAGUUAUACAGGGUUGUGGAAUCAAAAACUGCAAUUAGUAAUAAAAUGUGAUGCUAUCUAGAAUGUUUUUCAUACAUAUAUAUGCUUCUUGGGACUCUCCCUGCAGGUUAAGAGAAAUUGAGAAACGAUGGAGAAUUUAAGUGUUUUAGAUCCUACAUACAUUAGACUUAAAAAUAGUAACUAUGUACAUGAGUAUUUGUAAACUUAAGAAUGAACAUAACAUGAACCAUGUGGCACCUAUAAAAUGAAAAUAAAAUACCUACAAACCAAAUGAGAGCAAUAAAAGAAGCUUUAAGGACUUUCACUUCAGGGAGUCUGAAUUAGAUGCGCUUCUUCCCAUUCCUCCCUCUAAUUACAACAAGCUUGGACGUUACAUACAGAACAAACAGAAGGAGUCUCUGAAAGAUGAAGAGAAGGCAAGUAAGCUACAGACUUCACAAUGUAAGGAAUAAUAUGGUGGUGAGUUACAUUUGUGAUUUUUUUUUGUCUCAUAUCCCAUAAUAUCUCAUAUCUCAUAAUCAGUUAGAAAGCACAAUGGAAAAGUAUUCCACUGCCAAUGGUGUUAGAGAACUGCUCACAAAUUCAACAGAAAUGCACAGAUACCAAAGCAGAAAGGACAAUAAACAAGAGUCUUCAUGGUCAAAAGAUUAGAAGCUGCAGCUUUCAAUGGGAGGGACAGGUUCUGGACCACACUGCAGUGCUUUUCUGCUUUCUGUGCUUUCCCACUCUAGAGCUGAAGAAGGUAACGACCCCAAAAUGUCAAUAUACGUAGACCAAAAACCAGCCCCAAUAAAAGUCUGCUCUCUCUAGCCAAAGGACUACAGUAGGGCAGCCCAGCAAGACAGAAAACCUUCAGACAACCUACCCCAGCCAAACACUACCAAAAAAAGUAAA
rnacentral:lncRNA from 1 species